rnacentral:rRNA from 1 species
UACGAGGGGGGCGAGCGUUGUUCGGAAUUAUUGGGCGUAAAGGGUGCGUAGGCGGUUUGGUAAGUCUCGUGUGAAAUCUCCGGGCUCAACUCGGAGCCUGCACGAGAAACUGCCGGGCUUGAGUGUGGGAGAGGUGAGUGGAAUUCCUGGUGUAGCGGUGAAAUGCGUAGAUAUCAGGAGGAACACCUGUGGCGAAAGCGGCUCACUGGACCAUAACUGACGCUGAGGCGCGAAAGCGUGGGGAGCAAACAGG